rnacentral:rRNA from 1 species
GACGAACGCUGGCGGCGUGCUUAACACAUGCAAGUCGAACGGAAAGGCCCUGCUUUUGUGGGGUGCUCGAGUGGCGAACGGGUGAGUAACACGUGAGUAACCUGCCCUUGACUUUGGGAUAACUUCAGGAAACUGGGGCUAAUACCGGAUAGGAGCUCCUGCUGCAUGGUGGGGGUUGGAAAGUUUCGGCGGUUGGGGAUGGACUCGCGGCUUAUCAGCUUGUUGGUGGGGUAGUGGCUUACCAAGGCUUUGACGGGUAGGCGGCCUGAGAGGGUGACCGGCCACAUUGGGACUGAGAUACGGCCCAGACUCCUACGGGAGGCAGCAGUGGGGAAUAUUGCACAAUGGGCGGAAGCCUGAUGCAGCAACGCCGCGUGCGGGAUGACGCCCUUCGGGUUGUAAACCGCUUUCGCCUGUGACGAAGCGUGAGUGACGGUAAUGGGUAAAGAAGCACCGGCUAACUACGUG